rnacentral:lncRNA from 1 species
GCUCGCUGAACCCCAUCUUAGAUGGCAGGUCUUAUGCUGAUAAGGAGUGGUGAAUUCCCUCAGCCCCAGCAAUGUCCUGGCCCUUCUCUACACAACAGAAUUCUCCUGAGAGCUUUCCAUGGAGACUUCUCAUGGGAGGAGAUGCUUGGGGGUCCCAGUUGUUGCAGUCACGGCGAUUUCAAUAUCCACAAUAUUGUCACUAUACACUGCGUUGACAACGCCUUGGUGACAUCCUCGGUCCCAGCUGCUGCUGACUGACAGACCUAGAGAGGCCCAUCUACUGGGGUUCGAUCUGAAGAAAUCGAUGGCCGAAAAAUCACGCAAGGAUGAGGAUGUAGACAAAGAAGACUCAAUAUCGAAGCAAGGGCAGGCUUCCUCCUGCCAUGAUGGCUUGUCCCAGUUCCAGAAGCACAGACACCUGACCAGCAACUGAAACCUUUGAGACAACCGGGAGCCACACAAUGGAAAGCUCGGCUUCUAAAUCAGACCUCCAAGUCCUGAUAUCCACUCCUGCCUCAUGCACUGAAAGGAAAUAAAACUGUGAUUCAUGUAAUGUAUGUCAAAUAGCCCAAAGAGUUGUUUGUGAGCUUUGAAACCUGGGGCUGAGAACAUAGCAGAACAGACCAGGACAUGCCCGGGCAGGCCCAUCGUCUCCCUAUCUCCCACCCCUCUGACCUAAGUUAAAUGUUACAGGCUGCUGAUGUUUAAAUGGACCAAUCAUGUGAAACCACGCCAAUUCCUCCCCCAGCCCCACUCCUUUUCUAUAAAAACCCCUAGCUUCCAAGCCUCGUGGUCGAAUCCACUGUCUCCUGUGUGAGAUACGUUUCGACCCUGAGCUCCGCCAUUAAAAUACCCCGUGUUGUUACAUCAAGGUGUUGUGUUCUAUUCGUGAUUCUUGGGUGCACGCUGAAUCGGGAGCUGAGUGGAGGUUUCCCCACUAUGUUCUUUCAGCACCUUCCUCUGCUUUCUUUCUGUUCUUCUUAUUCUCCA